AACAAACGCUGGCGGCGUGCCUAACACAUGCAAGUCGUACGAGAAAGUCCGCUUCGGUGGAUAAGUAAAGUGGCGCACGGGUGAGUAACGCGUGGAUAAUCUACCCUUAAGUUCGGAAUAACUUAUCGAAAGGUGAAUUAAUACCGGAUAACACUGCAUAACUACUGUUGUGUAGUCAAAGAAGGCCUCUGCUUGCAAGCUUUCGCUGAAGGAUGAGUCCGCGUACCAUUAGCUAGUUGGUAGGGUAAUGGCCUACCAAGGUUAUGAUGGUUAGCUGGUCUGAGAGGAUGAUCAGCCACACUGGAACUGAAACACGGUCCAGACUCCUACGGGAGGCAGCAGUGAGGAAUAUUGCGCAAUGGGGGCAACCCUGACGCAGCAACGCCGCGUGAGUGAGGAGGGUUUUCGGAUUGUAAAGCUCUGUCGAGCGGAAAGAAAUGCAUGAUGGCUAAUAUCCAUCAUGCUUGACGGUACCGCUAAAGGAAGCACCGGCUAACUCCGUGCCAGCAGCCGCGGUAAUACGGGGGGUGCAAGCGUUGUUCGGAAUUAUUGGGCGUAAAGAGCGUGUAGGCGGCUUGACAAGUCAGAUGUGAAAUCCCUGGGCUUAACCUAGGAAGUGCAUUUGAAACUGUCAGGCUUGAGUAUGGGAGAGG
rnacentral:rRNA from 1 species